rfam:Frankia asymbiotica strain NRRL B-16386 contig_52, whole genome shotgun sequence.
GAGCGCCCGGUGCCUUGAAAGGGGCACGCCGGGUGCGGGAAGCGGCCCGGGAAGACGGACCGGCCGAAAGGCCGGAACCGCGUCCCGGGCCGACUUCAC